UUAGUUUGGGUCGAGGGGUGCCCUGUACCCGACCCAUUUAAGAAUACUGUUGUUGUUUUAGACCUAGACACACACACAAAAAAAAAAAAAAUCGGGUUUGGUCUAAGUCAUGUUAAAAUUGAAAGCAGCCGACCCAUUAAUUUAAUGAAUUAAUACUGGCCCCCUGACCCAAAUUUGACCCGUUUAUCAAACGGGUCACACUAGGGCUUGUAGGGUUGUCAAUGGGUAUCCAAAGCUAGGGGUACUCGAUGGAUCUAACCCACGAAUAUGACCUGAUUUUAACAAGAUUAAGGCCAAGAAAUUGGACCCAUUUAAAAUUCAGGUUAUGUUACCAUAAAACAAGACAGGUAUGAGAAGAACAUCCUAAACAAGUUGCUUGAGAUACGUGACAAUGCCAUAUGGCUUAGGAGAUGUUUUUUUUCCCUAAAUAUUAAAUGUGUUUGGUUCCUACAGUUCCAUACCUGGUUAAUUGUGUAGGAUCUCAUGAGUUUUCGGGUCCUUUUGGGUCCGGGUCUAGUUCUUGAAGACUCGGACCCGUAAUUGAUUAUAAAUUUGGAAUUUGAUAGUUGAUUUUGCCUCUUUCUAUUUCUCUCAAUCUUGUUAUAGGUCCAAGUAGUUGCAUAGGAUCGACUUAUGUCUCACUGAUUGGGUUUUGGUUUAAUAAUGUUGAAGAACAACCCAACAUACCUUGUCUAAAGAAGCAUAUUCCAAAUACUAAAAUAGAGCAACGUAAAGAGGUGCAAUGAUUUGGAAGCUUAUGUGGGAAUUGUUUUCACAGUCAGAAUUGUCUAAUCAACACUAUUCAUUUUCUUGAAAAUUUUCUCAACAGGUCCGCACCGUGAGAGCAGAGAAGCGCCUGAAUGAGAUAGUGUAUAGGUUGAACAAGACAAAAGUCGAAAGGAAGCCUGACUUGAAAGUUCACUGGGACUGAAAAGACCUCUUCUAAGUUCUCAACUUAUGGCUUCUGCAAGCUUCCUGGAAUAUGUCCUGUACUCUAUAUGGUGUUAUAAGCCACUCAUGUUAUGUGCUGUUUAUGCAGCAGAGCGGGAAGCAGUGAAUUACAAGGAUAUCGAUGAGGAAUUCCUACAAAGGGUUACGGAGAAUACCCGUCAAUAUCUGGUGAAGAUCUUAUCGAAAAGUUCUAAAUCUGAGGAACCUUGUAUUGCUUCAGCUGAGGUUUUGGCAAGAUCAGCGGCAUGGCUUGGAAGAGGCCUUUCUUGUGUUUGUGCUCAAAGAGGAGAGAAUGAUGCCCGUUCAUAGUUUGAACUAACCCCUUUGCAGUUUUAUUGCCAGAGAGAUUCUUUUGUGUUUGUUUCCAUGCACCUUAGAGUACUGAGCUUGUUUACCAGGAGCUUGAUCUUAUAUGUGAUGCUGCUUUCUGCUUCAUAUUACCCUGGAACAGAUGGCCUACUUCCUCAACAUCUUUUGUUUCCUUCAAUCAUGGAAGUGAUUAGAUUUGAAUUCAGUAGUAGUUGAAAAUAAAUUCUAUCCCUUUACGUUAUAACCUUGAAAUUUUUUAUGUUUCUAAUUCUUCUGUUUUGUCUUCCAAUUUUGCUUGUAGAGGCCACAACUGGUGAAGGAGAAUAUGCAGCUUUUUUCUGUGGAUCGGCAGCGUAGUCAAGCUCUUGAAGCACAUGCUGCAUCAUUUGCUUCACUAAAGGUUGCUGGAAAUGAAUACCCUUCCCUUCUUAUUGCCUUUGCCUCAAAGACCACCAAUGUAGGACAGAUUACAUCAAAGUUACAUGUGAUUGAACUUGGUGCUCAGCCAGGUUUGCUCCUUGUAUUGAUCGCAUC